AGAUGGCCAAUCCUAACCUGCUGUCAUGGUCAGCUAGUCCUGCAUGCAUGCCUCCUCUUGCCAGGGCAGAGGGCCACCCUCCGACUGUGAACGUAGGGUUUCUCUGUAGCUUUGGAGCCUGUUCUGGAACUAGCUCUUGUAGACCGGGUUGCCCUCGAACUCACAGAGAUUGACUUUGGCUGAUGAAGCAUAAAUGCUGAUCACGGUGCAUCUUCCUUACCCAAGUUUGUGUCAUGAUGGGUUGAAUCUGAGCUAACUAUAAAUCUCUGAGGAGGGGCUGUGGUGACUGGCAGCCACUAACACUGGGACAGCACGGCUCCUGGGAAGGAUGGAAAGUACAUGUGGAAGCACUGGAAUCCAGUUGUCACUAACACCGGGACAGCACGGCUCCUGGGAAAGUUGGAAAGAACACGUGGAAAGCACGGGAAUCCAGUUGUCUGAGCCCCGGGGUUCACCAGGGCACAACACGACUGGGGAGGGAAGGCUGGGUUCACAGAGAGGGCGAGCGCCUGUCCGUGGGGAGAAGGGGAGUGACGGAGUCCUGCCUGGGGAAUCUGGACAAGGACACUGUCAUGGUUGGAUGCUCAGUUUACUCAAGAGUGAGUGGGCCACGCAAAGCUCUCACACCAGUGGUUCAUGAACUGUGAUCUUCAGAGAUCCAAGGCACAGGUUACAGACAAAAGCCGGCUUAUGCCAACUUUUAUCUAAUGUCUUCCUUCUUGCCAUCACUUUUCCACUUUCUCCUUCCCACUGUCCCUCCUUCCUUUCCUUCCUCCUUCCCUUUCUCCUCCACUUCCUUCCUCUUUCAUUUGCUUCCUCCCCUCUUCCUCUUUACUAUUUCUCUCCUUUAACUCCACCUCCUGCCCUAUGAAUUCUUAAGAAUCCACAGUUCUGUGUUAGUUAGCUUUGCUGCCGUGGCUGGCAAAACCUCUCAUAUGACCAAGUUAGAGGAGGGAGGGUACUGGGG